UACGGAGGGAGCUAGCGUUGUUCGGAGUUACUGGGCGUAAAGCGCACGUAGGCGGCUUUGCAAGUUAGAGGUGAAAGCCCGGGGCUCAACUCCGGAAUUGCCUUUAAAACUGCAUCGCUAGAGUUGUGGAGAGGUAAGUGGAAUUCCGAGUGUAGAGGUGAAAUUCGUAGAUAUUCGGAAGAACACCAGUGGCGAAGGCGACUUACUGGACACAUACUGACGCUGAGGUGCGAAAGCGUGGGGAGCAAACAGG
rnacentral:rRNA from 1 species